UACGGGGGGAGCAAGCGUUGUUCGGAUUUACUGGGCGUAAAGGGCGCGUAGGCGGUCAGCACAAGUCAGUUGUGAAAUCUCCGAGCUUAACUCGGAAAGGUCAACUGAUACUGUGCGACUAGAGUGCGGAAGGGGCAACUGGAAUUCUUGGUGUAGCGGUGAAAUGCGUAGAUAUCAAGAGGAACACCUGAGGUGAAGACGGGUUGCUGGGCCGACACUGACGCUGAUGCGCGAAAGCCAGGGGAGCAAACGGG
rnacentral:rRNA from 1 species